rnacentral:rRNA from 1 species
GACGAACGCUGGCGGCGUGCCUAAUACAUGCAAGUAGAACGCAGUUGCGAACGGGUGAGUAACGCGUAGGUAACUGCCUGGUAGCGGGGGAUAACUAUUGGAAACGAUAGCUAAUACCGCAUACUACCAGCUGGACCUGCGUUGUAUUAGCUAGUUGGUGAGGUAACGGCUCAACAAGGCAACGAUACAUCGCCGACCUGGGGGGGUGAUCGGGCACACCGGGAACGGGACACGGGCCAGACUCCUACGGGGAGCAGGAGUAGGGGAUCUUCGGCAAUGGGGGGAACACUGACCGCGGAAAGCCGCGGGAGUGAAGAAGGUUUUCGGAUCGUAAAGCUCUGUUGUUAAGGAAGCGGUACUUAACCAGAAAGGGACGGCUAACUACGUGCCAGCAGCCGCGGUAAUAC